UUAAGGAGGAGCCAGCCCAUUUUAGCUGAUAUCAACAGGAUUCAUAAUCUUCUCACUUGUAUCACAAGUCGAAUGACUAAGACUCUAAGAGGGAGAAUUUUUCAUGCAGUUGAUUUUAAUGAAAAGAGGACAGGUUAUACAUUCAGGAAUGCUCCGUCACCAUUCAUGUUCGUCAAAGGUCAAUGAUAACUAUAAUCCUGCAACGUGGAUGUUGGAGGUUAAUUCUGCAUCAAUGGAAUCAGAACUUGGAUUAGAUUUCGCAGAACUUCACAAGGAGUCUCUCUGUACCUGGAGACAUCUGAGUGGACCUCCACCACGUUCAAGAGGCCAGCAGUUUUCCACAGGGUAGACGGGAGCGGUUUCCAGCAUGCUUGUGGAAGCAACACUUGUCCUACUGGAAAAGUCCUGUGUACAGCUUGGCAUGAUUCAUCUUCAUGAUCGUUUCAUCGCUGUUGUUUGGAAUAGCCUUUUGGCAUAAGGGAAGGAAAUGCUAGUUCAUCUUUCCCUUCAACUUAAAUCAGAAAAGCAGUAUCAAUUUAAGAGCUUAUGAAUUCUCUUUCCUCUGUUCUUGUAGCGCAGGUUCAACAUCACUUUCAUCAGCACGAAAGUGUCGUUUACUUUUCAUAUUAAAAGUUACAUGAUUAGCUGUCACAUAAUGUUCCAUAUAUAUGAUAAUACAAGGAAUUCUGCAGGUGACUGUUGAAAUACCAUACGUACUACUGCAAGCAAUUCUGUACGUAGCGAUCACAUAUCCAACAAUUGGGUACUGCUGUAUUAGAAAUUAGUGUCCUGUAUUAGAAAUUUGUAACUAUACUAAUUAUGCGCAGAAAAUUCGCAAGUGAUGGAUUUGGUGGUAUUACCUCUGCCCCACAUCAUGAUCCUUAAAUGGUUUUCUCACAUCACAACAUGGAGAAAUUCACAAGGAAAUCUUCAUGUUUGGGGUGCUUAAGACAGUCAGUUCCUUUCUACAAGAUUGUUGUGGCUUUCGACAUGAUCAAUUGGGCACUGUGGCUGUUCUUCUUGUUGUUUUCCCAGUUGCUUUCGCAUUUCUAUUCGCAUAUUGCAUCAGGAAAUUAAAUUUUCGGAGGCGAUGAAUGAAGAUCCAACCAACCAUGUUCGCCUCUCAAAGAUUUUCCUGCAUAAGCAAAAUUACUCGGAUAACGAUCAUAUUCUGACGAAACAUGAUAUCUGAAUAUAAAUAAGAAUUUAUA